UACGGGGGGGGCAAGCGUUGUUCGGAAUUACUGGGCGUAAAGGGCUCGUAGGCGGCCAACUAAGUCGGACGUGAAAUCCCUCGGCUUAACCGGGGAACUGCGUCCGAUACUGGAUGGCUUGAGUUUGGGAGAGGGACGCGGAAUUCCAGGUGUAGCGGUGAAAUGCGUAGAUAUCUGGAGGAACACCGGUGGCGAAGGCGGCGUCCUGGACCAACACUGACACUGAGGAGCGAAAGCCAGGGGAGCAAACGGG
rnacentral:rRNA from 1 species